rnacentral:rRNA from 1 species
AUUGAACGCUGGCGGCAUGCUUUACACAUGCAAGUCGAACGGCAGCACGGGUGCUUGCACCUGGUGGCGAGUGGCGGACGGGUGAGUAAUACAUCGGAACGUAUCCAGAAGAGGGGGAUAACGCAUCGAAAGAUGUGCUAAUACCGCAUAUUCUCUGAGGAGGAAAGCAGGGGAUCGAAAGACCUUGCGCUUUGGGAGCGGCCGAUGUCUGAUUAGCUAGUUGGUGGGGUAAAGGCCUACCAAGGCGACGAUCAGUAGUUGGUCUGAGAGGACGACCAGCCACACUGGGACUGAGACACGGCCCAGACUCCUACGGGAGGCAGCAGUGGGGAAUUUUGGACAAUGGGCGCAAGCCUGAUCCAGCAAUGCCGCGUGAGUGAAGAAGGCCU